GAUGAACGCUGGCGGCGUGCUUAACACAUGCAAGUCGAACGGUGAAGGCGGAGCUUGCUCUGCUGGAUCAGUGGCGAACGGGUGAGUAACACGUGAGCAAUCUGCCCCUGACUCUGGGAUAAGCGCUGGAAACGGCGUCUAAUACUGGAUACGAGCUGCGAAGGCAUCUUCAGCAGCUGGAAAGAAUUUCGGUCAGGGAUGAGCUCGCGGCCUAUCAGCUUGUUGGUGAGGUAAUGGCUCACCAAGGCUUCGACGGGUAGCCGGCCUGAGAGGGUGACCGGCCACACUGGGACCGAGACACGGCCCAGACUCCUACGGGAGGCAGCAGUGGGGAAUAUUGCACAAUGGGCGAAAGCCUGAUGCAGCAACGCCGCGUGAGGGACGACGGCCUUCGGGUUGUAAACCUCUUUUAGCAGGGAAGAAGCGAAAGUGACGGUACCUGCAGAAAAGGCGCCGGCUAACUACGUG
rnacentral:rRNA from 1 species